rnacentral:rRNA from 1 species
AACGAACGCUGGCGGCAGGCUUAACACAUGCAAGUCGAACGGGUGCAGCAAUGCAUCAGUGGCAGACGGGUGAGUAACACGUGGGAACCUUCCUAGGGGUACGGAACAACUCAGGGAAACUUGUGCUAAUACCGUAUGCGUCCGAGAGGAGAAAGAUUUAUCGCCCGUAGACGGGCCCGCGUCGGAUUAGCUAGUUGGUGGGGUAACGGCCUACCAAGGCGACGAUCCGUAGCUGAUCUUAGAGGAUGAUCAGCCACACUGGGACUGAGACACAGCCCAGACCCCUACGGGAGGCAGCAGUGGGGAAUCUUGGACAAUGGGCGCAAGCCUGAUCCAGCCAUGCCGCGUGAGUGAAGAAGGUCUUCGGAUUGUAAAGCUCUUUUGCCAGGGACGAUAAUGACGGUACCUGGAGAAUAAGCCCCGGCAAACUUCGUGCCAGCAGCCGCGGUAA